rnacentral:lncRNA from 1 species
UACAGUGUGGAAACAACAUCACUGAUAAUGUCAGACUUAGAGCUAGAGGAUAAAGAGAACAUCUCACAGGUUUUAGCACCUCAUAGUUAUGAGUCAGUUACUGACUAGCAGCUGAAGGAAACGCUUCUGCUUUGAAUCGCCUACGCCCUUGGUGCCACCUGCUGGUCGCAUCGCGCCAAUGCAGCUCUGAUCCGUGGAGAAUCUAAGCCUACCUUCUGAGCCAAACCUGAGAAAAUCUGGAAUUUCCUACCAGCUGGAAGACUAGAUCCAGUAUCAAAUCCUCAGGGAUGGCUCUGCUUACAGUGUGUAGACGGAGGAUUGAGAACAGUUAGUGCCUGGGAAGUGGAAGCAUAUGAAGCACAGAGACACAGCACAGCGGCACAGAGAAGAGGAGGAGAGGUACGGAAGCUCUGAGAAGGGCAAGAACCAGCUCCCAGGUCUCACCUGCAUCCUCUUUUUCCAGCAUUGGCCCAUCCAGGCUCCCGGACAGAGCUCAGCCUGGCUUCUCACAAUU